ACAACAUUCAAGUCAAUGUCACUUUUUGCACCUCUGCACCUCUGCACUUGUCUCUCCUUGGCUUUCUGGAAGACUGUUUCACCUGAUUUCCUCAGGACCAUCUUGAUGAUCAACGUAGAAUGGAAAUGUAUGAGGAAAUGCCUGAACAUGUUUCCAAAAUGUGAUAUGUCAUCAUAUCACUGUCUGGGUAAUGAAAACACUGUGUUCUAAACUACACAUUUAUGUCAACAUUUUCUAACACAAACUCUUGAGUUUCAAAUUAUCAUCGCGCAUUGGCACACUUAUAUCUUUAUGGAUGUUUCAAUCAUGGCUUUGGAGAAAGGAAUCAAAAGAAAUGGAAUCUUUAGAAGUUAUUCACGAAGAAGUACUAUGCUUGUUUAUGAACAUAGAAAUGAAGAAACUGAAGAAUACAUUAAGUCCAGGGCAUCCUUUGAAGAAGGAGCGCUAUGUAUUGGGAUUCAGAUCCUAAAUUGAAGUCUUGGGUCAAUUUGGAGUUGAUACUUGUGAACAGUGAGAAAGAGAAUGAUCCAGUUUCAGUCUUUGCAUUUGGACACCCAGUUUGAUCAUAAUGAGCUGUGACCAGCCCGAUGCCAUGGUUUUCCCAUAUGGAUGGCUGUACCUUCGGUGUGAGACAAAGUGAACCCUUCCUGCCUUAAGAUGCUUUGAUCAAAGCUUUGCAGUAGCAUAAGACAUGGAGCUAAUACAUCCAUAUGGAGACCAUUGCGGGUUUCUACAGUAGUCAAGUAUACACAAUGACUAAUAGUCCGUUGCUAUCCCUUGCUUGAUGGAUCAACAAUACAGCUCGCAACAAUACCAGCUUAAGAAAUGCAUUUGUGAGGUGGGCACUCCUGAGGCUGCAGAGCGGAAGAGACCAACAACACUGCUCACCCCUGCCCACAUCCCUGGCCCAAGAGGAAACUGUAUAAGGCCUCUGGGCUCCCGUGGGGGAGGGCCCAGGAGCAGCAGGACUUCUGCGCCUGAGACACCGCCGGAACCUGAAAGAAACAGACCGGAUAAACAGUUCUCUGCACCCAAAUCCCGUGG
ensembl:lncRNA